rnacentral:rRNA from 1 species
UACGGGGGGGGCAAGCGUUGUUCGGAAUUACUGGGCGUAAAGGGCGCGUAGGCGGUUGGAUAAGUCAGCUGUGAAAACCACGGGCUUAACUCAUGGCCUGCAGUUGAGACUGUCUGGCUUGAGUGUGGGAGAGGAGAGUGGAAUUCCUGGUGUAGCGGUGAAAUGCGUAGAUAUCAGGAGGAACACCGGUGGCGAAGGCGGCUCUCUGGACCACAACUGACGCUGAGGCGCGAAAGCUAGGGGAGCAAACAGG